UACGUAGGGGGCAAGCGUUGUCCGGAAUCAUUGGGCGUAAAGCGCGUGUAGGCGGCUCGGUAAGUCUGCUGUGAAAGUCCAGGGCUCAACCCUGGAAUGCCGGUGGAAACUGUCGAGCUAGAGUCCGGAAGAGGCGAGUGGAAUUCCUGGUGUAGCGGUGAAAUGCGCAGAUAUCAGGAGGAACACCAAUGGCGAAGGCAGCUCGCUGGGACGGUACUGACACUGAGACGCGAAAGCGUGGGGAGCAAACAGG
rnacentral:rRNA from 1 species